CAACUUUGCUAUCUUAGAACGGAUCACCAGUGAAAGAGGGGAAGUUGCUACUGUGAUGAAUUCUGCCAUGUGGUACCAGACUGCUGCCCAGACCACAGUGUCCUCUGCAACCCUGCUUCUCAGAUGACCAAGAUGGUGCUGCCGAUGGUGUUGAGGACGGAGAACCCACCAAGCCCCGUUAGGAGCCACCUAGACUGGAUGCAGAGCACAGCUAAAACCUUUGAAGAGGAAUUUAUUAUAUCCUACAAACCUGGGAGGCAGAGGUUGCAGUGAGCCAAGUUCGGUCCAUUGCACUCCAGCCUGGGCAACAAGAAUGAAACUCUGUCUCAAAAAAACAAAAGUUGGCUAGGGCCAGGUGUGGUGGCUCACACCUGUAAUCCCAGCACUUUGGGAGGCUAAAGCAGGCGGAUCACCUGAGGUCAGAAGUACAGGACCAUCCUGGCUAAUAUGGUGAAACCCCAUCUCUACUAAAAAUACAAAAAAAAAAAAAAAAAAAAAAAUUAGCCAAGCAUGGUGGUGAGCGCCUGUUAUCCCAGCAGCUCAGGAAGCUGAGGCAGCAGAAUCGCCUGAUCCCAGAGGCAGAGGUUGCAGUGAACUGGGAUUGUGCCACUACACUCCAGCCUAGGCAACAGAGCAAGACUCUGUCUCAAAAAUAAAUACAUAAAUAAAGUUUUAGAGCAGGAAUGAAAGGAAGUAAAGUACACUUGGAAGAGCCGUGUUGGCCACUGGAGAGAUCCGAGUGCCCCAUCUGACCCUUGACUUGGGAUUAAUACAUUGGCAUGAGAUGUGAGCAGUGA
rnacentral:lncRNA from 1 species